rnacentral:rRNA from 1 species
GCCGGGAGAGGCAAGCGUUCUCCGGAAUUAUUGGGCGUAAAGCGUCCGCAGGUGGCGAUUCAAGUCUGCUGUCAAAGGUCGGGGCUUAACCCCGGGAAGGCAGUGGAAACUGAAUAGCUAGAGUGCGGUAGGGGCAGAGGGAAUUCCCGGUGUAGCGGUGAAAUGCGUAGAGAUCGGGAAGAACACCAGUGGCGAAAGCGCUCUGCUGGGCCUGCACUGACACUGAGGGACGAAAGCUAGGGGAGCGAAAGGG